rnacentral:rRNA from 1 species
UCGCCUGUUUUAACAAAAACAUCACCUCUAGCAUAAUAAGUAUUAGAGGCACUGCCUGCCCAGUGACUUCAGUUCAACGGCCGCGGUAUCCUGACCGUGCAAAGGUAGCAUAAUCACUUGUUCCCUAAAUAGGGACUUGUAUGAACGGCUCCACGAGGGUUUUACUGUCUCUUACUUCAAAUCAGUGAAAUUGACAUUCCCGUGAAGAGGCGGGAAUAAAAAAAUAAGACGAGAAGACCCUAUGGAGCUUUAAUUAACUAACUCACACUACUCGCAACUAAUAUCCUCCACAGAGGACAAAAUUAAUUUAACUGAGUUAGAAAUUUGGGUUGGGGUGACCUCGGAAUAAAAAUUAACCUCCGAGAAGAUCAAUUUAGACCCACAAGUCAAAAUUACAUAAUUAUACACUGAUCCGUCAACGACGAUCAACGAAACAAGUUACCCUAGGGAUAACAGCGCAAUCCUAUUUAAGAGUCCAUAUCGACAAUUAGGGUUUACGACCUCGAUGUUGGAUCAGGACAUCCCAAUGGUGCAGCAGCUAUUAAUGUGUUCGUUUGUUCAACGAUUAAAGUCCUACGUGAUCUUGAGUCCAAACCGGA